UAGAAGAUAAAGAGGGAUAGAGAGAGAGAGAGAUGAAGAUGAUGAUGAAGAAGGAAGCAAGCUGAUAUACAUGAAACUGACAGACGGACGACAUUGUACGGUGGUGGCUGUUGCGUGUGUAAUAUUAUUAUUAGCAUCAUCUCACGUUGUAAUGAUAAUAUUGUCGUAAAGUAGCCGUGUGCUGGAGUUCCAUCCUCAUCGCCAACAUAACCAGCCAGGCCAACUUAUAUAUAUAUAUAUGUAGAUAGAUGUAUAUUUUGGCUGAGAUCGUCGUCACCUAAAAGGCAACAAACACUCGAUUGAUAUUUACAGACCUCAUGUCACCCUCGGCCAAAUUCUGGAUCCUCGCUCCGAUCAAGAUUUUUGGAAAUACUGUUGGUGAUCCCUUCAUGACUUUGUGUUGGUGACCUGUUGAUGUCCAGCUGACGAAUUGUAAGACAUCUUCCUGCUAAUAUUGUGAUAUUAGGUUAUCAACCUCUGCAGGUUAAUGACCUCUUCAUAUUAAUGAGCUUCCAAGGCCAAUGGUCUUUAGAAAAUGAUGGCCUCCCAAGAGUGAUGACCUUUUGACUUUCUCCAGACAACAACUUUUCAUUUUAUUUGUGGGUUUCUUCUCAACAGAUUGAACUGAACUCAUGAACCAGUACCCACUCACAUAAAGAUAUGUAUAUACACACACACACAGCAGUAUGCAUACACACACACACACACACACACACACAGCAGUAUGCAUAUAUAUUAAGUAAAGUUAUAACAUGUAACCAGACAGAAAUUUAAAGCUAACUCCAAAGUGAUUUUUUAUUUUGUAACUUUGUUACUCAAAGCUAGUGGGAGACACACUUCUUGAGUUUUCAUCAACUCCCUACAGUUACUGAUCCUAAUUACAUAAAUCUCCAAUCACAGGCAUGAAAGCUGCCAUAUUAAUACAGACAAUCCACAGCCAACUGCAUAAUACACAUAUCCAUGAUCAUUAGUUUGUUAACCUAGAUAUUUCCGUUGUAGUAUUUGACUUCAAGGAGACCAAAGGACUUCCACAUAAAAACCAGUUUCUAAAACUCUCCUUCAACACUUGAGUUAAUGGUCAUUUGUAUUUUAUCUAGCAGAAAUGCUUGCUAGACAUUAUGUUGGCAGGAUCUAGACCACAACAAUCAGCCUAAACUAUUCCUGCUUCAGCUUUGUUAUACUUAAUUGUUUGUAAGUCUGCCUCAACCCCCUACUUGAACUUAACCCCUUCUGCUUCUCCCUGUACACCUACUGCCAAAAUUUUCCUUCUUUUGUUUAAUCCUUCAGCAUCUAAUCCAGCCAAAAUAUUCUGUUCAAAACAGCCAUGUCAGGCCUCUCACAACUACCCUACAAUGUCAAUCUAAAAACAAUCACGUCAUGUUAAUCUUGAGGCUAUAAGAUAAUUAAUGAUUAAUUCAAAACAAUGUUAAUAAAUAAACAUUACAUUUGACAGAAUAAUCUCUCCCUAAUCUUGUUUACCUUUCUCUCCCUAAUCUUGUUUACCUUUCUCCCAUCUUUGCGCAAUUUCUAUUUCUGAUUCAUUUUACUUCUGCCUAGAUUUGCCUAACUUUUACAGACAGAUUCACUCGUUUGUCUGUCUGUAUUCAUACAAACUUGUAAA
rnacentral:lncRNA from 1 species